UGAUGAUUAGAAGCACUGCUGACAUCUAUUUCCCAGUUACCUUUUGCUGUUUUCACUCAGUAGCUGGUACCUGUAGACACCGCUUGGAGACCCCAUGAGCCAAAGGAGCAAGAAGAUGUUUUCCAGUCUGCCCAGCUGCAGCAAAGUGAUUUUUUCUGGAGGAAGAAGUCAGUCCAAGGUUUUGAUGCAGCCUAAAUGGAGGACCUACAGUCACUGGUUCUACCUGUGCACGUCCCAGUUCACUCCCAGGGCUCAGCAAAGCCUCCCUCACUUCAGAGCUGGGAAAAGAUGCUACUGUUCUAUUAAAGCUAGAAAGAGCAGCUUGUAGUAGAAACUGCAGGAAAAAAGCUUUCUCUUCUCCCCCCUCCCCCCCAUCAUCCACCCCGUGGGUGCUGCUGCUCACCCAUGUUUUCCCAAGCGUUUUCUCUACCUUAUUUUCAUGGAGUCAAGGAAGCAACUGGCUCUUUGGGAUUUACAUGCCUUUGAGGUAAAGGCAGAGCAGAUUUGAGAGAUGACUCUUCUCUGCUACCUGCUUCGUGGCUGGCCCUACAAACCAUGGGAGAGGCAUUUUGCAGCUCAAACUUUGCAGCUUGUUCACACUGCUGGCUGAGCUGACACCUUUCCUUUGAAAUGGAGAA